GUGCACUCUCCCAGAAAUGGAGGAGCCCCCUCCAGCCCCUACAGGUGCCUGGCACAUGGCCAGGAGCCCAGGACAGUGGGUCAGGGAGGGGUCACUCCUGCAGGCAGGGAACAGCUAGAACCCAAGGCAGCUCAGCCUCUACAGUCAAAAUUGCAACAACCUGGGAAAAUAGCUGGGGGGCCUCUAAAGAGCAGGCUCUGGAUGCCAAAGUUGCACCUUCUGCAGGUUUCAGAUAGUUCGUGAACACCCUCAGGCAUGUGAAAGUGCUUUGAAGUUGGGGAGGGGAAGUCCCUGGGCUCCUGUGAGGCACAGCAGCAGGGCCCUGUUGUGGGACUGCAGGGGAUCAAAAGCCAGACCCAGCUGUGGAAGCCAAGCCCCCAGGCUGGCGGGAGGCAGGAAAGUGAGUAGUAUGCCUGCACCACUUUGUCUGGGAGGAUGGGGGCAUAGGGCGCUGCAGCAGGAAGCCCUCCAAAGAGAACCUGGAAUCUGUGUCACCAAAGGGAUGCUGAGCACAGUGUGAGCCUCCAACUUGGUUCAGGAAAACCAGGGACUUCCCCAGCAGCUGGGAAGCCCAGCACCAAAAUGGCCCCCAAAAUACCCUCAGCAGAAAAAGGCAGCACUGAGCAGGCUCCAGCUGCCUUCCGUCCCCAGGCCUCUCCACCCAGCCUUCCCUGGAGCAAGUGCACUGGUGUAGGAACCUCCCAGCAUGUGACUGCGGACAAGUCAUUUCUGUUCUCUGAUGCACCAGCUACCAUUGGCGGCGCACCUCAAGGGACGGGCUUAUCCUGGCAUUCACCAUUCCAACCAAGGGUGACUCAUGCAGAGGUUUGAGGCACGUCAUCAGGCCCACAGACACAAGGGAGAAGCUGAGGCCAAAGCGGGGAAGAGACGAGCCCCAGAAGCACAGCGUGGCAGGGCAGACACCAUGGGCCUCGAUACCCUAAUUUGGAGACCCCAUGUCCCCAGAACCUUCCUGCUCAUCGGGGCCGUUGCAAAUGGGGGUGAGUCAUUUAGACUUGCAGGAAACCAAACUUAGUCCAAUAUUAAUCACAGAACCAGAGACAUCGGUGAGGGAGGAAACAGAAGCAACCGAUAGUGGCCGCAGCUGAAGGGGAGCCAGGCGAGGAGGGUGUGUCCCCACGUGCUCGUCCAUGCAGGGAGGUCCCCGACCCUGGGCCCGGGUGACCCUCUGGGAGGGAGAGGACACUCCUCAUGGGGUCCUUCCUAUCCAGACAAGCUACCACCUUGCAGGAAGGGCCUAUUCUCUAGGGGGAAAGUCAAGGCCAGGGGCUGCUGUGUCUGUCCAUUUGUCCAAAAGGAAAGUGCUCUACAGGGAUUGGCUUUGUGUGUCCGCCAUCACCCUCCUUCCACAGGCUGGGGCUCAGGCAAUCAGGGCAUGGUGUGGGGGGUGGGGAGUCUCCCUAAGACAGGCCUCAGAGUAUUUGAAGAGACCAAAGGCACCCUGUCCUCAAGCCACGACUUACAGUUCAGAACAUUCAAGAGACCAGCACACUCACGUCCUGAGGCUGAGAACACAGAGAUGGGACUGAUCAAGACUCUGUCCACCUCCUGCCCCUCAGCCUGAAAUUCCACCAUUACUCACUCCUUGGUCAAGAUAGCAAAGAUCCCAGUUAAAAUGUAAAUCAUUUCUGGGGGAAACCACUUACUAAGUCACUGGUGAGUGUCUCCACCCCACAUGAGCUGGUUUCUCAGAAGAGCCUCUGGGAGAACAGGGCCAGGGGCUCAGAUGGCCGUGUGUCCGGGUUCCAUGGCCGCCUCGUCACCAGCUGAGAAGGUGUCGAGGAAGAGCUGAGUUUCUCAUCUGGUCCAAAAAGGCCCCCAGGGGGGCUCCUGCCACUCCUGACCUCAUCCUUUGUCGUGUUCCCACUGGCCUCCUUUCUGCUCCUUUCCAAGCCUGCUCCUGCUGCAGAGCCUCUGCAUUUGCCACCCUCCUGCCAGGAAUCCUAUCCCAUCCCCCCUGGCUCUUUGAAAUGCUGAUCCUCCAAGGAAGCUCUCGGCAGUGAUGGGUCUGUCCAUCCCCUCGGUUGUGCCGAUAGAUGUGUUCACACGUCCAAACUUAACCAAAUUAUCCACUUUAAAUAGUACAAUUUAUGUCAAUGACACGUCAACAAAGGGGUGAAAAAAUAAAUUCAGAA